rnacentral:lncRNA from 1 species
CACAGGGCUGAGGAUGGCUUAUCAAAAACAACCCACUUUAUACAAGGAAAAUAAGUGGCACUGUGUGCUUGCCUGGAGGCAUACCCACAGCUACAUAAGAUAAGGGGAGUUGCACACACAGGUUUACUGAUAAGAGAAGUUACUCAAACUGCUACAGACAUGAGAGGAGUUUCUUAUAAAAGCUUUCGAAUUCAGAUGUAACCCAGCAAUGCACUCAGACUCCUCUCUGCUGUGGAGAGCUUUUUUUUUUUUUUUUCAUAUUAAACUUUCACUCCAACUUUAUCUUUGUGUUUACAAUUCUUAAUUUUUUUGUCUUGGAUAAAGAACAAAAAACCUGGAGUACUUCUUCAGACAACAAGAAACUUCCAAAUUAAGGUGCAUUGGCAAGAAUGCAACAUAUUUUGAUCCAUUGGCUUGGAAGGAGGGAAUUCAUCAGAAGGGAAUCAAACUUGACUUACAAAGCAAAAAGGCCCUUGGAAAACUCACUGCAUAUUUUGUGUACACAGUCCCUGUACAUGGUUUCUGAUCUGUGAGUCAAGGACACUUGUCUUGAGCUAGCUACACCCUUUCACAACUCAGUAAGGAGUGAAGACUGAUUUUGCAGAGCCAAUAAAGGCCCCUGGGGAAACUGGCCUCAUAUCUUGUCAUGAAGAUUUUAUACAGGUUUCCUAACCUGUGGUGAGUAAAGAAUGUCCCUCUCUAACAGGUCUACCCCAUGCUCUUGGAACCUCAAGAAGAGACAAGUUUACCCAACUCACAGUGCUCACUGCUGCAAAGAAGAACAAGCACACAGGCAAAAAGUUUUCCCAGCAAGAAUGCCAGGGUGAAAGGAAAGAUCAAUUGGACCAGAGCACAAGUGCUGCUCCAGUUACUUGGCAGAGUACCUAAUAGUGAUCCACCACAAUACCACCAUAUAUCUGUUUGGGAAUAAACAAGGGCAAGUUGACUGCUUAAGAGUGAUGACAUGCAACUCAGUCUCUUGCAACACCACCUGAGAAAAGGAAGCACUAGCAGGAAGAACAAAUUGAUGGAGAGGAAAAGUGAUGAAUACAGAUAAGAAGCACAGCUGGUGGAGGCUCAUGUGCCAGUUUACUGGGCCUCAGGACAUUCUCCUCUAGAAGGAGGAGACAGCAUGACCCCCACUUUCUUUUAUUUUAUUAUAAUUUAAGUUUUAGGGUACAUGAGCACAAUGUGCAGGUUAGUUACAUAUGUAUACAUGUGCCAUGCUGGUGUGCUACAGCCAUUAACUCAUCAUUUAGCAUUAGGUAUAUCUCCUAAUGCUAUCCCUCCCCCCUACCCCUACCCCACAACAGCCCCCAGAGUGUGAUGUUCCCCUUCCUGUGUCCAUGUGUUCUCAUUGUUCAAUUCACACCUAUGAGUGAGAAUAUGUGGUGUUUGGUUUUUUGUCCUUGUGAUAGUUUACUGAGAAUGAUGAUUUCCAAUUUCAUCCAUGUCCCUACAAAGGACAUGAACUCAUCAUUUUUUAUGGCUGCAUAAUAUCCCAUGGUGUGUAUGUGCCCCAUUUUCUUAAUCCAGUCUAUCAUUGUUGGGCAUUUGGGUUGGUUCCAAGUCUUUGCUAUUGUGAAUAGUGCCGCAAUAAAUGUACGUGUGCAUAUGUCUUUAUAGCAGCAUGAUUUAUAGUCCUUUGGGUAUAUACCCAGUAAUGGGAUGGCUGGGUCAAAUGGUAUUUCUAGUUCUAGAUCCCUGAGAAAUCACCAAACUGACUUCGACAAUGGUUGAACUAGUUUACAGUCCCACCAACAGUGUUAGUCCAUUUACAUUUAAAGUUAAUAUUAUUAUGUGUGAAUUUGAUCCUGUCAUUAUGAUGUUAGCUGGUUAUUUUGCUCGUUAGUUGAUGCAGUUUCUUCCUAGCUUUGAAGGUCUUUACAAUUUGGCAUGGUUUUGCAGUGGCUGAUACCGGUUUUUCCUUUCCAUGUUUAGUGCUUCCUUCAGGAGCUCUUUUAGAGCAGUAAUCUCUCAGCAUUUGCUUGUCUGUAAAGUAUUUUAUUUCUCCUUCACUUAAGAAGCUUAGUUUGGCUGGAUAUGAAAUUCUGGAUUGAAAAUUCUUUUCUUUAAGAAUGUUGAAUAUUGGCCCCCACUCUCUUCUGGCUUGCAGAGUUUCUGCCAAGACAUCAGCUGUUAGUCUGAUGGGCUUCCCUUUGUGGGUAACCUGACCUUUCUCUCUGGCUGCCCUUAACAUUUUUUCCAUCAUGUCAACUUUGGUGAAUCUGACAAUUAUGUGUCUUGGAGUUGCUCUUCUUCAGGAGUAUCUUCAUGGCAUUCUCUGUAUUUCCUGAAUCUGAAUGUUGGCCUACCUUGCUAGAUUGGCGAAGUUCUCCUGCAGAGUGUUUUCCAACUUGGUUCCAUUCUCCGCAUCACUUUCAGGUACACCAAUGAGACGUAGAUUUGGUCUUUUCACAUAGUCCCAUAUUUCUUGGAGGCUUUGUUCGUUUCUUUGUAUUCUUUUUUCUCUAAACUUCCCUUCUUGCUUCAUUUCAUUCAUUUCAUCUUCCAUCACUGAUACCCUUUCUUCCAGUUGAUUGCAUCAGCUCCUGAGGCUUCCUCAUUCUUCACGUAGUUCUCAAGCCUUGGCUUUCAGCUCCAUCAGCUCUUUUAAGCACUUCUCUGUAUUGGUUAUUCUAGUUAUACAUUCGUCUAAAUUUUUUUCAAAGUUUUCAACUUCUUUGCCUUUGAUUUGAAUUUCCUCCUGUAGCUCGAAGUAGUUUGAUCGUCUGAAGCCUUCUUCUCUCAACUCGUCAAAAUCAUUCUCCAUCCAGCUUUGUUCCAUUGCUGGUGAAGAAUUGCGUUCCUUUGGAGGAGGAGAGGCGCUCUGCUUUUUAGAGUUUCCAGUUUUUCUGCUGUGUUUUUUCCCCAUCUUCGUGGGUUUAACUACUUUUGGUCUUUGAUGAUGGUGAUGUACAGAUGGGUUUUUGGUGUGGAUGUCCUUUCUGUUUGUUAGUUUUCCUUCUAACAGACAGGACCCUCAGCUGCAGGUCUGUUGGAGUUUUCUAGAGGACCACUCCAGAUCCCGUUUGCCUGGGUAUCAGCAGCGGUGGCUGCAGAACAGCAGAUUUUCAUGAACCACGAAUGCUGCUGUCUGAUGGCUCCUCUGGAAGUUUUGUCUCAGAGGAGUACCUGGCCAUGUGAGGUGUCAGUCUGCCCCUACUGGGGGGGUGCCCCCCAGUUAGGCUGCUCGGGACCCCCAAUUUGUUUGUGUAUCUCAGGGUGAGUUUGUGCCAUUUUCUGUUAGCCUUAUUGGUCUCUGUGUCUGUGGUGCACUUCAUUCAUCAGCGUCUGUGUUUGUUUGCAUUUUUUACUUGUCUCUCCAUCUAUUUCUCUGAUUUUGUUACAUUUUACAUUUUAAGUUUCAUUAUAUUUUCCAUUCACAUAUUAUACAUGCACAACUAUAUGGCAGACCAUGUUAUUUUAAAACAUGCAUACAAUAUACCAAAUAAUGGUAUUUAUUCAUCUCCUCUAAUGUUCCUCGUGAUUAGAACCCUAGGAAUUCUCUCUUCUAUUUAGAAAUAUAUAAUGCAUUGUUAUUAAAAAUAGUGACCCUGCUGUGCAAUGGAAUACCAUUGCUUCUUUUUUUUCAAUUUAACUACUUUUUUUGUAUUUAUUUACCAACUUCUUCCUAUCCCUACAUUUCUAAUUCUUUCUAGACCCCCAUAACCACUAUUCUUCCCUAUAAUUCUAUGAGAAAAUUUUUUAGAUUCCACAUAUAGGUCAGAUAAUGUGUUAUUUUUAUUCCUACACCUAGGUUAUUUUGCUUAGUUACAUGUAAAGGAAUAUACAUGGUAUGUGGCAUGGCAAAUGAUAAAAGUUCAUUUUUAAUAGAUAUAUACUAUUUCAUUGUGUGUGUGUGUACAUAUACCACAUUUUAAAUUCAUUUGUCUGUUUAUGAACAUCCAGGUUUAAUAUUGUAUUGUUCAUGGUGAAUAGUGCUGUAAUAAACAAAAAAGAGCAAAUAUUUAUUUGACAUGCUAAUUUUCUUUCCCUUGCCUACAUACUCAGUGGUGCAGAUUGUUCAGUCAUGUGGAAACUUUCAUGUAAAUUUUUUAGAGAUCUACAGAAUGUCUUCCAUACUGAUUCUACUAAUUUACAUUCCAUCCAAGAGGAUGUUUUGUGCAGUUCCCCACUUUUCUUUUCUCCACAUCCCUGGCAAUACUUGUUAUUCUUUUGCAAUUUUUAGUUAUAUCCAUUAUUAUUCUAAUAGAUUCACUGAGCUGAAAGGACUUGUCAUAUUUUCUUAUGGGUUUUCCUGGCAUUUCUCCAAUAAAAAUUAUGUUGAACUUUUAUUUAGAAAUGUGUUGGAAGUAUCUGUGUCAUUUUUGGAGAAAUGUCUAUUUACAUCUUUUGAACAUUUUUAAUUAGAAAAUUUUUGGCUAUUGUUUCUUAUUUGUUCUGGAUACUAAGUUUUUUUCUUUUUUUUCCUUUUGUUUUGGAGAUGGAGUCUUACUCUGUCACCCAGGCUGGAGUGCAGUGAUGCAACCUUGGCUCACGGCAACCUCUGCUUCCCAGAUCAAACGAUUCUCCUACCUCAGCCUCCUGAGUAGCUGGGAUUACAGGUGUGUGCCACCACACCCA